GACGAACGCUGGCGGCGUGCCUAAUACAUGCAAGUCGAACGGUCUUUUCUAUGGAAGCUUGCUUCCGCUGAGAAGAUAGUGGCGAACGGGUGAGUAACACGUGGGUAACCUGCCCAUAAGAGGGGGAUAACAUCCGGAAACGACUGCUAAUACCGCAUAAGCUGAGUAAUCAGUAAAGGAGGCCUCUGAAAAUGCUUCCGCUUAUGGAUGGGCCCNCGUCUGAUUAGCUGGUUGGUGGGGUAAAGCCUACCAAGGCGACGAUCAGUAGCCGGCCUGAGAGGGUGAACGGCCACACUGGGACUGAGACACGGCCCAGACUCCGUACGGGAGCAGCA
rnacentral:rRNA from 1 species